rnacentral:rRNA from 1 species
GUGGGGAAUUUUGGACAAUGGGCGAAAGCCUGAUCCAGCCAUGCCGCGUGAGUGAAGAAGGCCUUCGGGUUGUAAAGCUCUUUCGGCUGGGACGAAAAGGUUCGUGUUAACACCACGGAUCCAUGACGGUACCAGCAGAAGAAGCACCGGCUAACUACGUGCCAGCAGCCGCGGUAAUACGUAGGGUGCAGGCGUUAAUCGGAAUUACUGGGCGUAAAGCGUGCGCAGGCGGUUUGCUAAGACAGGUGUGAAAUCCCCGGGCUUAACCUGGGAACUGCGCUUGUAACUGGCAAGCUAGAGUGUGGCAGAGGGGGGUGGAAUUCCACGUGUAGCAGUGAAAUGCGUAGAGAUGUGGAGGAACACCGAUGGCGAAGGCAGCCCCCUGGGCUAACACUGACGCUCAUGCACGAAAGCGUGGGGAGCAAACAGGAUUAGAAACCCUAGUAGUCC